CGCACAGAAGACUUCAGGACUGCUGAUCUAAUUCUCCUUCUUCGAUCAACUCGGACCCUUCUGAUGUCAAAGAUGGACUAACGGAGGAUGUAAGUGAUGGAAGAAAAUCAAAGAAAACAUCUUUUCUCUGAUCUGAUUUCUAUCUCCUAGAAAUCCUAAAGGUAAGGGCCAGAACUCUCACCCAAGAGGAGACGGUCUUCUCUAAAAUCACACACCAACACCUUGGCUGCCCACCCC
rnacentral:lncRNA from 1 species